GGAUGUGAGGACAAUUGGCCAGGACGACUGUCACUCCAUUGAUGUCCAGGGUUGAUUUGCUGGCCUGGCUGGCUAGAUGGGUGUCCCUUUACACCCUCACUACUCCAUGUGCAUCCCCCCUGGAGCUGCAUGCUUGGUCAAGAGAACAACAUUCCCUGGAUGGAGGGGGACCAGUCCUUGGUCAAGGUAUGCAAGUACCUGUGCUCCCCUGCUUGAACCUCCAACCACGCUUUCCAGAAGUAAUCAAGAAGCUCACAUUUUGUAAUUACGCCAAAUCCCCUAUAAGGUGGGCAGUCCUGACUGAGGCUUGUGUGUGUUGCUGACAGAUGAUGCCAGUCCUU
rnacentral:snRNA from 1 species